rnacentral:lncRNA from 1 species
AUGAUUUUCUCUUUUUAGCUCUAGUUUUCACACCUUUGAACCCUUUUGACUAGAACCUUUGAAUUCUUUCAUCCUCUCACUUCAAAACCCUUGAUAAAGCUUAUUUUCAGACUUUCUCUCACUAGUUGGGCAUUUUAGAGAGAGAAAAAGAGAAUUACUCCAUUGAUUUGGAAGCAAUUGGAAGAGAAUUUGACUACAAAGGAGCCCUAGGGUAAGUGAUGAACUAAGCUCAAUUUUUAGUUACAAAAAAUGGCUAGUAAUUGGGAUUUAUGAGCUGUUUUAUUGUUGACUACGUUCAUUACUUUUUAAUGAUUAAGAUAGUGAACAUAGAUAGUCGUUUAAUGUGGCAAUUGAAAACUAGCUAAGAGAUAACUUUUAGAGUUCAUAGUGUAUAAAUUGAUAUAUUGUUUAUGUUAAUGUGAUCCUAGGCUUUAAGGAAGCCCCAUCAUCUCAUUUGGACAAUUAGGGGAAUUGGAGUCAUCUAAAGGCUUUACAAUCAAUUGGUGAGUGGACUGCCUUCAAAACUUAUUUUGGGAAUAUAAUGUUUUUAACAAACGUUUGAAUGAUUUUAUACGAUUUUUCAUGAAAAUGAAUGCCUUAGAAACAAGCUCUUGAGAAAUGAUUUAUGUUAUGAUAUGUGGUUAUUAUGGAUUUCUAUGUGGCUGCAUUAUGUUGAUAUAUAUAUAUGCUUGAAUAUAAUGUUGUGUAAUUAUAUUGACUCGGCUAUGUGCAAAUAGGGAGUGCGCAUAAGCCGAGGAUGACCCGGUUAUGUGCGAGUAGGGAGUACGCAUAACCCGGUGAUGACCCAGCCAUGUGCGAGUAGGGAGUGCGCAUGAGCUGGUGAUGAUGAUGAUGGGAUGGUGUGAUGAUGAUGAU